GACAGAGGUGCCAAGCGUUAGGCGGAAUCACUGGGCUUAAAGCGUGUGUAGGCGGACUUGUAAGUACCUUGUGAAAUCCCACGGCUCAACCGUGGAACUGCUUGGUAUACUGCUUGUCUUGAGCCACUUAGGGGCUACCGGAACAAAUGGUGGAGCGGUGAAAUGCGUAGAUAUCAGGAGGAACACCGGUGGCGAAGGCGGCCCUCUGGACGGAUACUGACGCUGAGACGCGAAAGCGUGGGGAGCAAACAGG
rnacentral:rRNA from 1 species